GAUGCAGUUUCCACUUUACCAUCGCGCUCUUAUCCAUUUAUGCAUUAAAAUUGCAAAUAGUUAAUACAUUUCUAUAUCUGGGGCAUUUUCUAAAUGCCUUGAAAACUUCUGCAAUCAAACCCUUUAAAAAAAAGCCUAAUAAUUUCCCCUAGGGAUCAAUAAAGUACUCUGAUUCUGAUGUAGAUGCCUCAGUAAUAAGUAACCACAGACCGAUUUCAAACCAAACAGUUAAAGCUGUGUCUGUACAACAGAGGUAUUCGAGUAUUCAAAGCUUCUCUCUAUCACAGGAAAACAGACGCCAACCUCCUAACCCAUUGCCCUUUAUAAAAAACAUGUAAUUGACAUAUUUCUGUCUUUUACAGGUGAUUGGCCAGUAUCACGCCUGAAUCGUAUCCAUGGACUAUGGUCACCUCUGAAGCCACUGAAACGCAGCGGCAGCUAUGGAUUACUGCCACCUCAGAUGUUUCCUGACUGCAAUGAGAUGACAACACAAAAAACAGGCUUGAA